CUGGAUUGCUCAGUUGUUCUGCCUGAGAUGAUGUAGUCAUCUGUGGUAACGGGUUGGACUAGUCCCUGUCCACUCAAUGCUAGUAGGGUGCUGAGGAGAAGAACAUCGGUGUAAAGGUGGGAAGAUGGCUGUGAGAGGCAGCUUGCACAGAUCCAUCAGCCCAGUGCUUCCAUCAUGUGCUGGUUCCCUGGAGGAACCUGGUCCAGAAGCGUCACGCUUGAGUGUCUCUACAACACGAUGCAGAACCUCCUAAAUGAAGUGAAAGAAGAGCUGCCAUCUGGAGGACUUGGUGGGACAGAAGUGCAUGUAAUUCUGUAGGGAGCUGGAGAAAAUGACUGGAGAAUCUUUGGAAAGGGUAAUAAAGAGUUGGUUUAACUUUAGAGCCAAAUAUGGCCUAAGGAUUUGGUAGUAAAGGAAACGUGAAACAACUUCUCAGUGGGUGAGUGCUGCUCCUGGCUGCUGAGGGUGGCUGCUGUCUGUUUCUGACUGUACUUACUUUAGUCCCUGUUCUUUAUUUUUCUGAGAAACUGGCUUGAAUUGGGAGAGGCAGGCAACUUAGGAGGAUCUACGGGGUGAUAUCUCUCAUCUACAGGCCAUGAAGUGACACCAAGAGUCCUGAUGUAGGAGGGUUGUGGUGAUUUCACUACUCAAACCAUCUAGCUCUCAACAUUUCAGCGUGACUAAUCCUGAGCAGACCUAGCCUUACCCACACAGGAUGCCUGUCCCAUCUUGAGCUCUUAGUCUUCCUUUACAGUAUGUGCAGUGCUGUGUGCAUGAUGUUACAGGAAGUCUGCAGCAGCAUGUUUGCUGCUAUCUGUAACAUCCAAGAGAAGAAUUUGUCGCAGCCACAUCUGAAUCAGCUUAAAACCCUUUGGCUGACAGGGGAGGGAGCGCCCGGGCCGUGGGAGGAGGACAAGAGCUGUGUUUGGGCUCUUGUCUCCAUGGGAUCCCCUACACACACACGCUACAUCUGCUGUGGAUAGGGCUGGUGAAUAUUUCCAGUGCCAUUUCUAUCUGUCUCUCGCUUGCGCCAUGGGUAUGUGGAUUUGAAGUUGCCUCACUUGCUGGUAGCAUGGGGUUACCCAGCAGCAGCAGCUCCAUAGCUUUG
ensembl:lncRNA